rnacentral:rRNA from 1 species
GAUGAACGCUGGCGGCGUGCCUAAUACAUGCAAGUCGAGCGAACGGACGAGAAGCUUGCUUCUCUGAUGUUAGCGGCGGACGGGUGAGUAACACGUGGAUAACCUACCUAUAAGACUGGGAUAACUUCGGGAAACCGUAGCUAAUACCGAUAAUAUUUUGAACCGCAUGGUUCAAAAGUGAAAGACGGUCUUGCUGUCACUUAUAGAUGGAUCCGCGCUGCAUCAGCUAGUUGGUAAGGUAACGGCUUACCAAGGCAACGAUGCAUAGCCGACCUGAGAGGGUGAUCGGCCACACUGGAACUGAGACACGGUCCAGACUCCUACGGGAGGCAGCAGUAGGGAAUCUUCCGCAAUGGGCGAAAGCCUGACGGAGCAACGCCGCGUGAGUGAUGAAGGUCUUCGGAUCGUAAAACUCUGUUAUUAGGGAAGAACAUAUGUGUAAGUAACUGUGCACAUCUUGACUGUACCUAAUCAGAAAGCCACGGCUAACUACGUG